UCUAUUCCUCAGAUCUCUUAACAGGACUACAGCUAAAAUGGAGUGGGCCCUACCUGGUCUUCCUUAGAACUUCAAUGGUGGUCAAGGUCGCUAGACUGCCAUCCUGGUUCCACAUCACUCAAGCUAAGCGGUGCCCUCCUAACCCUAACCCCCCUGACUCUAAACAUUCUGAGAGGUCAUCUCAUCUGUCUCCUGUCUCCAUCUCACCAAGGCCCCGCAGUCACAAUUUUCAGACUCUUCCUCUCCAUGGCCCUGACGGAACGACACAUUUGGAUCAAGGGAUGCAAUUGUUCACAAUGAGUAAUUCCUGUCCUGACUGAAACGCCUCUACCAGCUUCUACAUGGGCAUCAACUGUCAUCCCAUCAGCCCCCUAGACCCCAACAAGACACCCCUGUCCAGCAGGAAGUGGUAAGAGAGAGAUGUCGCCCCUUUGCUGACAAUACAGCCCUGCCCAGGAAGAAGCAGCCGCUCCCGUCCUGUGUGGCCCAAGCUGACCCAGCCUGAGGAGACACAUGCCUGACAGCAGAUUUGCUCGCAUGUCUCGCUGCUGCACGUGUAUUGCGGAGGCCACUGCGGGCCUUCGGGAUGAGGAUAUGGGGGCCUCAGUUCCAACCACCUUCCCCCUUCCCGGGGGCCUGGGGUCCUACUGCCCGCCCUCUUCCCAGCCUCAGGCUCAUACCCGCAUUUCCCACAGUUAUCGGUUGGGUCUCUUCACAAAUCUGGCUCCACACACACGUGGGAUUUAAAUACCUGAUUGUGUUGCUCACUCUUUCUUUCCAAGGCCUGGAGCCCUGUGCGUGGGAACCAGUGAUUCUUACCACCUCUUACCACGUGUGGCCUGAGAGGUCGCCGCCAGCCAGGGCCUCUCUGUGCCUCCUUGUGCCCAGGCUGUGGGGGCGAAAGGGACAAGAGCGCUGCUGGGCAGGGUCGCCUUCGUGACCCCGUGUCCUUCUUCCCCAUCACUCCCUUCGUGGCAGGCCCAGGCUCUUCUACAGCUGGUGAGCGCCUCGCUCCCCAUGUGCCUUCGCCUUCCGGCCUCUCCUGCCCCACUUUUGGGGGAUGGGACGCGGCCUCCUAGUGUCCUCUGGGAAAGACCCCGGGUCUGUGGGCCCCAAUUUCCCCGAGUCUGGGCACCGUGGUCUCCAUGCUCCACGAAACACCUCUUCUCCACGGCCUUUCACCCCUGCGCCCUGUGUCCUCGCUGUCGCUGGGCUCUGCAGCCUCCCACGGCAUCCCAGUGAGUGUCCUCUGCUCGGCCUUCUGUGGCGCUGGGGAGGCCCUGUUGUCAGGACACCCUGCAGCCCACAUAUCUGAGUUUUUCUGCACUGGCUCUGCGGGGCUCCAUCACGUUUGCAGGCAUCGUCUUGUCCCUCCAUCCGCGGUCGCUCAAGGCUGUGUUCUGGGUCUCUGCUAAUGUGCUCUCUAGCUCUGAAGUUGAAGCGAGGUGAGCUGACCUUGGAGUCUGGCUUUCAGAGAAAGCAGGGACAGGAAUCAUAGUUGGGAGCUGACCUCAGAGUUCCACGCGCGACUUAUUCCCAGGGUUUUCUGCCCUUUUGGAAUGUGACGGUUACACUGCUUUCAGGAAGCUGCUGUCUCCUUUCUAUGGAUGGGAAAUUGAGCCACUGUGACCUUCUACUGGCUUAGGUAUCUAAUUCUGGGACAGAAACAUUGUAGCACAAAAUCCUGGAAUAUACCUCCUGAUUUAUUUUGCACUUUGUUGACUUUUAAAAGGCUCAGUCUGUUCCAAAGGGAAAGUGGAGUGGCAGGUUUCAACUGCGGUCUCAGUCGUGGCAAACCCACACGAGGUGGUGGGGAGGGGCUGUCAGGGCUGGGCUCGCUCAGACCCAGAGGCUCGGCCAGGGCACAGCUGGUGGCACAGCAGGGCUAAGUUUAGAAGGGACAAGAGAGGACAGCACGGAUGCCAAGUUUAAUCAGAAGUGCCCCAGUUGGGAUGUUCCUGGGCAGUUAUCGGCCUCCUGGGGCUGGCAGGCCUUCUUAUCUCGGGGCGUAGGGUGCUGGAGCCCAGCUCCCAUCACCAGGCGGAUGACUCAGAGCCGCGGCGCUGAAAACCUGUUGCAAACAGAAUUCCAGGGUCUGCAAGGAGCCAAGAGAGCCUUCCGCACGCUCCCUAAAUAGCAAGCGACAAGACCUCUAUCAAAACAACAGGCACCUGGCUCUUUUCUGAUCCAUUAAGGUCAAGCACAAGAGGGUGAGGCAAAUGCCUUGUCAGGUUCCACGUUUGUCCUGGGUGUAGACUCUUCUGAAGGUGGCUGCCAAGGCAUGGUGUGGCCUGUUUUCAAGGUGAGCCUUGUCACAAAAGUGUCCAGCGCAUGAGUCAGAGCCAUGAAAGGUCUGAGAGCUUUGGCUUCCAUCUGGGUGACAGAGGCCACAGCCUUUCCCUUGUGGCAGCCAGAGUGAGCCAGGCAGAGCUGUGGGAACCCACACCUGAGGCUCCUCGGGCAGAGCCACAGCCUCAGAGUGCUGCAGAGUACUCUAACCACCAGGUCCUCACCAGCUGGAGAUGCAACCACAACAUGCAGAGAACCCCACUCCUGCCAUCUGUAGCAGCUCGGAUUCUCAUUCUGGAGUAUGGACCCUGGGUCCAGUUGCAAGAGGGCUGAGAAGCCCUGGCCCAGGUGCAGGAUCCUGUGAGAGUGACAGGUGCUCCUGAGCAUCCUGAGGGCUGUUUCUGCAUGGAGAAUGUUCUAGAAUGUUCCUGCCUUCUCUGGUCCUGAGGACUUCCUUGCCCUUGGAAAUCUCAGCCCUUCCUCCAGAAUGACUUUGGGCUGCUGGGGGCUGAGGAGCCCUGGGCGGCCAGAGCAGGACAGAGCCAGGGCCCCUGGGCUGAACACAUGUAAUGCAGAGCUCACGCCCAUGGCUGUCCACGUGGCUGACGUGUCCUUGACAUCCAGAGCCACCGCUAUGGAUAUCACCUGUCUCUCAGAGAAGGGUGGAUGCCCAAACACAUGGAGACAUCCAAAGGCCUGAGGAGGGAGAGGCCGGAAGGUGCUGCGCCACCCCCUGACUAAAUUUGGUAGCUGCAGAAGGCUCUGAGCUUUAGGCUAAGGUCCCAGCAGCAGAGCCUUUUAAUCUUAGUGGGAAGUGUGCCCUUAAGGGCCCCAGGGAUGUGUCUAGAAGAGGGGCUUCCCGAGGGCCAGGGGUCUGCUUCUUUCUGGGACAGCCCUGUUCCUCUCCGAAAGUCUGAAAUAGCCACAGGCACUUGCUGGUCCCUAUCAGCAGAAAAGUGCGGCCAGGGCACUCAGCCUGGGACAGAGCCAGUGUCCUCCUGGGAGUGUGGGCCUCCAGCUCCCCCUGUGGAGCACGCAGGGCGAGAACAGAAGCCGAGCUGGCUGGAGGCCUGCGCUCUGCUUGGGACAGGUGUGCACACAGACCUGCUUUCUCCUCUGCCAAGCGCAAGGCAGGCUGGGUAUGGAGAGGGCAGCCCAGGGCUUCCUGUGCACAUGGGGUGUGGUACUCACUGGUGUGGGUGUCUCUGGAAACCUGAGAUGUUUGACUGCCUAGUGGGUUACGGAGUUCUUCAGAAAAUUAAAAGGGACUUCAGUAGGUGUAAUCAGGGUAGAAAAUAUUUUGGCUGUUUUUUAAAAUUUAAACUCAUAUGUCUCCUGUAACCCAGUAAGUCCUCUCCUAUAUGUUUAUCCAACAAAAAACCAAAACCAUACACUGGCUAAUAUACACUUGUAGAAGAAUAAUCUUGGUAGCUUUAUGCAAAAUAGUCAAACUGGACACAGCCCACACAACCUUCUGCAGGAGGAAGCGUGCCUGAGCAGGUCCUGCACCCCAGGAAGCUGCCCAACAGUGAGAGGAGGUGUUGGUGCUGCAUGCGAAAUGCGGGUGGAUCUAGACAGCCUACACUGAGUGACAGAGGUCACACAGCCACACGCGUGCAGCAGGAAUCCACUUAAUGAGCACAGGCAGGACUGAUGGAGACUGAUGAAAGUCAGACCAGCAAGAGUGUGGCUGGGGGUGGGGGGCUGCACAGGAGCCUGCAUGACAGAAACUUCUGCUGCUUAUGAAUUGCUAAGACCUGCUUCAAUGGCAAUACUGAGCUUUUAGAUCUAUGUAAGCUAGUGAGUAAUAAAAGUCAAAUCUCGGCCAUUUAUUAUCUUUGUAGGCUAAGGUGAGAAAAUAAUUUCAAAGAGCUUAAAUUUGCUCAUCUAUAAAACAUGUAGAGAACCCCACUCCUGCCAUCAGAACAUUGUCUGAGAUUAGCAUAGGAUAUUUAAGGAAUGUAAAGUACCUGACAUCGGUUCCAUUGGUGAUGGUGUGGUGUAUGUCAAUGUGCCAGAGCUGUAAUUCAGCACAAUAACUUUGUUACUUGAAGAUACAAACAUUUGGAUGCAUGGGUUUUUGUCUCUUUACCAAGAUGACUGAGCAAAUCCCGUGCCUGGCACCGGAGUCAGUUCUCUCAGAACUACUUUCCCUCCAUCACACAAUCUUGGUGCAUUUUCAUCUUCAUUUAGUUCAAAAUAUUUUAAAAUGCCUCUUGAGACGUCUUUGACUUAUAUAUUACUUGGAACUAUGUUGUUUAAUCUCCAGAUAUUCCACAGUUUUCCAGAUUGCUUUCUGUUACCGAUUUCUUGUUAGUUCCCUUGUGGCCUGAGAACACGCAGUGCUCUGAUUUCUGUUUGAAUUUGCUAUCGCGUGUUUGAUGGUGGUCUGCUAUGAGGUAAGGCCUGUGCUCUGGGAAGAACUGAGUGCGAUGGUUGCCGGAGGAAGGUGCCUGCUCUCUCCUGAGACCCUGCCAGGGGACGCUGCCCCCUCGCUGGUGUGGGAGGCGAGGUCUACUGCUGUAUCGGGGCCUUGUCUCUCUCCUCAUUGCCUUAGCAACUUUUGCCUCAGUUAUUUCAGGGUUGUGUUGUUAGCCACAUGCCUGGUGAUGACUGCAUUGUGUUCUUGGGGGGCAUGUCCUUGUCACCCCAGAAAGGUCACCUUUCCAGCCCUGUAACGCAGCUCCAUCCCAGAGUUCCCUGCCGGAAACCCCGCACUCCUGCUUUCUGUCGAUGAGUAUCGUGUCCAUCCCUUUACUUUGGAUAUCUUUGUCUGGACACUGCAUUCUUUUUCAGUUGGAGUGUGUUCAUUGCACAGUGUACCAGGCUUUGUGCUGGUAUCCACAGGUGCACAGCACCCACUCUGUCACUUCCUCCCCCUCCUCUGCCUCCCUUGGCCUGGCUAAGAGUGUCAUUCCACUUUCCAGCAUCUCUCUUUUGAUAUGUUUUCCUAGCUUUCUUUUGAGUUGGACCACACUUUGCUUCUUGCUUUGGUUUAUUUUAUACACUGUGAUGUCCUCUGUCUUCUCAGUGGUAUAGAUCAAUCUCAUUUGCAGUGACUACUGGUAGAGUUGGAUUCACCUCAAUAAUAUUUGUAUCCUGUCUUUUCUGCCUUUUCUGGUUUUAAUUGGAAAUCUUAUGGGAUUCUAUUUUCUGUGCUUCAUUACCAUGUAAAUAGACUUGUGUGAAACGCAUCUGUGGAGCAGCUGCGUGGCGCCUGCGGGCACACUGGCAGCGUUUCCUGCGGCUCCCGCUCUCCCUCCGCUGCGGCCCGCUGCGGCCCGCUCCUCCGCUGUGCUUCCCCACGUCCGCAAGGUGCUGCUGCAUCGCUCGUGUUGCUAUGUUGAAUAAAUGCUUAUCUGUUAAAUCAAUUAAGAGUGAAAGUAAAAGGAUUUAUCCGUCUUUAUUUAUUCAUGCUAAUGCUCCUCCUUGCUUUACACAGAUCCGUGUUCUGUCCUGUCUCUGAAGAG